rnacentral:rRNA from 1 species
GAUGAACGCUGGCGGCGUGCCUAAUACAUGCAAGUCGAGCGAACAGACGAGGAGCUUGCUCCUCUGACGUUAGCGGCGGACGGGUGAGUAACACGUGGAUAACCUACCUAUAAGACUGGGAUAACUUCGGGAAACCGGAGCUAAUACCGGAUAAUAUAUUGAACCGCAUGGUUCAAUAGUGAAAGACGGUUUUGCUGUCACUUAUAGAUGGAUCCGCGCCGCAUUAGCUAGUUGGUAAGGUAACGGCUUACCAAGGCAACGAUGCGUAGCCGACCUGAGAGGGUGAUCGGCCACACUGGAACUGAGACACGGUCCAGACUCCUACGGGAGGCAGCAGUAGGGAAUCUUCCGCAAUGGGCGAAAGCCUGACGGAGCAACGCCGCGUGAGUGAUGAAGGUCUUCGGAUCGUAAAACUCUGUUAUUAGGGAAGAACAAACGUGUAAGUAACUAUGCACGUCUUGACGGUACCUAAUCAGAAAGCCACGGCUAACUACGU